UACGAAGGGUGCAAGCGUUAAUCGGAAUUACUGGGCGUAAAGCGUGCGUAGGCGGUUCCUUAAGUCUGCUGUGAAAUCCCCGGGCUCAACCUGGGAAUGGCAGUGGAUACUGGGAGGCUAGAGUGUGUCAGAGGAUGGUGGAACUCCCGGUGUAGCGGUGAAAUGCGUAGAGAUCGGGAGGAACAUCAGUGGCGAAGGCGGCCAUCUGGGACAACACUGACGCUGAGGCACGAAAGCGUGGGGAGCAAACAGG
rnacentral:rRNA from 1 species